CAGUCGCCGCGGUAAUACGAAGGGGGCUAGCGUUGUUCGGAAUUACUGGGCGUAAAGGGCGCGUAGGCGGCCAUUCAAGUUAGAUGUGAAAGCCCUGGGCUCAACCUAGGAAUUGCAUUUGAUACUGUUUGGCUUGAGUUCGGGAGAGGUGAGUGGAAUUCCCAGUGUAGAGGUGAAAUUCGUAGAUAUUGGGAAGAACACCAGUGGCGAAGGCGGCUCACUGGACCGACACUGACGCUGAGGCGCGAAAGCGUGGGGAGCAAACAGGAUUAGAUACCCGAGUAGUCCCUGUCUCUUAUAA
rnacentral:rRNA from 1 species